rnacentral:lncRNA from 1 species
UCUAUCAUAAGUAUCACUGAAAUCUCUUUCAGUGGGUUGAAAUAGUUUCACUCUAAUUUGACAAAGAUCAUUGAUCCAAAACGAUCCUAUUGAGCUCUCACAAUCCACCAAUGACAUCUAGCAAUAUGUAAUGGCAAUCAAGUAGAACUGAAAUAGAACUUCUAGGUAUAGUUAAUGUAUGAUACAGUUCCUCUAUCAUGAGUUCCGACUAAAUGGC